rnacentral:rRNA from 1 species
CCCUUAGAUGUUCUGGGCCGCACGCGCGCUACACUGUUCGACGCAGCGAGUCUUAACCUUGACCGAAAGGUUUGGGUAAUCUUCAGCAAAGUCGAACGUGAUGGGGAUCGAUCAUUGCAAUUAUUGAUCGUGAACGAGGAAUUCCUAGUAAGUGCAAGUCAUCAGCUUGCGCUGAUUACGUCCCUGCCCUUUGUACACACCGCCCGUCGCUACUACCGAUUGAAUGGUUUAGUGAGAUCUCUGGAUUGACGCUGGCUAGGGGGCGACCCUUGGCCAGGCUGUCGAGAAACUGCUCAAACUUGAUCAUCUAGAGGAAGUAAAAGUCGUAACA